UACAGAGGUGGCAAGCGUUGUUCGGAAUUACUGGGCGUAAAGGGCGCGUAGGCGGCCUACUAAGUCAGACGUGAAAUCCCCCGGCUUAACCUGGGAACUGCGUCUGAUACUGGAAGGCUUGAGGAUGGGAGAGGGAUGUAGAAUUCCAGGUGUAGCGGUGAAAUGCGUAGAUAUCUGGAGGAAUACCGGUGGCGAAGGCGGCAUCCUGGACCAUUACUGACGCUGAGGCGCGAAAGCUAGGGGAGCGAACGGG
rnacentral:rRNA from 1 species